rnacentral:rRNA from 1 species
AUGGGGAACAGCCGGCCCGGAGGGGCGCCUCCGACAACCAGUGGGAACGUGGCGAGGAGCAACGCGGAGGCCGUGACGGAAGCUCCCCGCUUGCGGCCGCACGGAGGGCCAGGUGCGCCGGGUCCGGGGAGCCCAGGUCGGAGCACACCCCUUCCUGGUGGUCGGGAGAGGGGUUCCACGGGGGCAAAUGUGAUGACACCGUCUUGUGACAGGCAGCAGAACAGAGCGGUGGAGGAAGCGCCGCUCGGAGCGUCGAGCGCGGUUAAGAAGAGCAGUGUGCCCAAUUCUCUGUCAAGGGGUUCAGACAUAAACUCUGGCUCUAGGAUGGAUGCAGAGGAGCAAGUGAUGGGUGGGCAAGCGAGCAACGGGGACGCUGGCUCUUCCUCGAAGAAGCGGAAAAAAAGAAUGGAUGCAAGAAGCUACAUCAAGAGAUUCAAGACUGGCGUAAGAGUGGGUGCCUCAGUUGUUGCUUCCCCUGACAGGAUGGGCAAGGAGAAUACUGCAAGUGGGCAUGUGGCAGACAGCAACACUGCUAUCCUGUGUGAAGGUAGCAGGUUGAUUGAAAAAAGCAAGGGACAUUCAAGCCAUGCUGCCUUCAAAGUUUCUAACAGUCCUAUUUCUGGUUUACAUGAAACUUCAGACACAAGAGUUGACCAAUGUUCUACACCAUUGUCAGAGGUACAGCCACAUAAACCUACCGACGUGCAAAAUAUAGCGGUUGAAAGCAGUCUUCCAGCAAAGGCUAGAGAUCCACGCAUUGGCCUUGCAAGGCAAAGCUUUCCAUCACCAUCAUCAUUGCAGAGUGUACCAAUACCUAUUCCUCAUGAAGAGAUUAAGAGCACAGUUGGAGAUGGUGAACCUAUUACUGUUCAAAAAGAAAAUUCAGCUUCAGGACAUCUCAAGGUGACCCAAUCUGAUGGAACAGAUGGUAACUCCAACAUAUGUGCUGCUUGUGGUCGUGGAACCCCAGGAACUUUUAGGUCUUGUGGUGGAAAAGGUUGCAAAAGUAGGUACCAUAUGUCUUGUCUGGAUCAAUAUUUGUCCCUUGGGAAUUGGUUCUGUACCAGCUGUACAAAAAAGAGGUUGCAGUUUGGCUUACAUUAUAUUGUUGAUGGGAUAGAGUCUGUGUGGGAUGUCAAGGAGGCUGAGGGAAUGCAAACUAGCAAGCAGUAUUUUGUCAAGUAUAAAAAUCUGGCACAUGUCCAUAACCGUUGGAUUCCAGAAGGUGAUAUUAAGGUCAUGCCUGGAGGUCCUGAUCUUCUUUCCUUGUUUAACAAGAGGAAUCAUACUGAAAAGACAAUUUGGAAGGAGGAAUGGACUAAGCCACAUCGCCUGUUGAGGAAGAGGCUACUUGUGCCCCCCAAAUUGGCUGAUGAUUUCUUCUGCGCUGAUGAUUUCUUUUGCUCAACUGGUGUCAAUUAUACAUAUUGUACUCUUGAAUGGUUAGUGAAAUGGAGGGGUCUUGGCUAUGAUCAUGCAACAUGGGAACUAGAGACUUCAUCCUGUUUAUGUACGCCGGAAGCUGACGAACUUAAAAAGAACUACGAGAACCGCCGUGAAGCUGCAAAACAAUCAUCUGUUCCCCAAAAAACAAAGAUUAAGCAAAGCUCAUUCCAGAAACUUGAGAGAUUGCCAGAUGGGUGCCAUCCUGAUUUUGACAAUGAUCACUUGUGUUCAAUCAAUCACCUUCGAGAGUACUGGCACAAAUCUCAUGGUGCUGUUCUUGUCGAUGAGAAGGAGUAUGUAAUGAAGACCGUGUUAUUCACAAUGUCUGUAUUACCUGACAUCAGCCAACCUUUUCUAAUUGUCACAACCCCUGGUUCUCUGUCCUUAUGGGAGGUUCAGUUCAAUAAGUUGGCACCAUUUAUCAAUGUUGUUGUGUAUGACGGGGGGAAAGAUGAGCUGAAAUUAAUUCGAGAUUUGGAAUUCUAUGAGAGUGGAAGCCGCAGUAUGUUACAGGUUCUCUUAUCCCAUCCUGAUGCUAUCCUAGAGGAUAUUGAACCUAUAGCACACAUUGGUUGGGAAGCAGUCAUAGUUGAUUGUUAUGAAAAGUCAGCUCUACAAUAUCUCGAACAACUGAAGGAAAUUCCCACUGACUUCAGAAUGUUGCUUGUGAGCUCCCAAAUUAAGGAUAAUCUUCCCGAGCACGUGAAACUUCUAGCAUUCCUUAAUUCUGGAGAGCAAGAAAAUGGCGAUCGCGUUGAUACUGCUGAGACCCUUAUGAUGCUGGAAGGAAACUUCAAAAGUCAUAUUGCAUAUGAGCGUCAAGCAGAUUCUUUAAAAAUAUUGGAGCACUGGGUUCCUGCUUACAUUUCACAACUGCAGCUGCAGAUAUAUUGUUCCAUACUGCUUUCAAACUCAUCUGUCCUCCAGUCGCAGAUGAAAAGUGAUAAAGCUCUUUAUGACAUUAUUAUGUCUCUCUCAAAGUGCUGUGAUGACCCUUACCUUGUUGAUGAAUCCCUGCGACCUCCUGUCAACAAUCAUGAUCACACUGAUCCUAUAGUUACGAGAGUGCAAGCAUGUGGCAAGCUACUGCUUCUUCAAAAAAUGCUUGAAGCAAUAAGGAACAAGAGGCUAAGAGUUAUUAUUCUUUUUCAAUCUGGUGUAGCAGGUGGAAGCUCAGUGGGUGAUACAUUGGAAACUGUUGUGCGUCACAAAUUUGGCCCGGAGUCAUAUGAACGUGUUGAAUUUCGUGGAUCAUUCUCAAAGAAAGCAGUGGCACUUAAUAAGUUCAAUGACAAGACUAAGGGGAGAUUUGUUUUUCUGAUUGAAACAAGUGCAUGCCUCCCAAGUAUUGAGCUGUCGUCUGUCGAUGCCAUUAUUAUAUAUAAUAGUGACUGGAACCCACUAAAUGAUCAAAAUGCUCUUGAAAAAAUCAAAAUAGAGGCACAACUUAGGCAUCCAAGUAUUUUUCGCUUAUACACUCCUUUCACAAUGGAGGAGAAGUGGCUUGUGCUUGCAAAACAGGGGAUGCUAAUUGAUAAGGAUAUAACACACAGCAUAAGCCAUUCCUUGAUUAGUUGGGGUGCAUCAUGUCUCUUCUCUAGACUUGAUGAGCUUAAGCAUGACAACUGUGCAAGUAAAAGCUCUGAAAGAGACAACUUUAUGAAUAAAGUAAUUUCAGAGUUCUUGGGAAAAUUAGCCACAAAUAUUGUAGGCAGCACCAAAAUUGCCUGCACAUCCAUAUCGGAAGCCAAUAUGAGCGGGAAAUUUUACUCAAGAAACAUUACUCUAAUUGGUGAAAAAGAGGAAAUGCGUGCAUUGGAUGGAGAUCCAUCUAAUUUCUGGUCAAAUUUACUGGAUGGAAAAUCCCCUGGUUGGAGCUAUAUAUCUGAGCCACCACAAUCAAGCCAUAUGAUCGUACAGAACUUGGAAGAACGAGCCAAGGAUCCUGCUGAAGAAGCCAAUCAAAGCAGAAGGAAGCGUAGAAAGGUUGGCGAAAUCACAGGUCCAUCUUCAAAAAGUUCACCUGACAACAAUCAUGAUGAUAUGUUGCCUGAAAACUGUUCUACAUCGAGUCCUGCUCUUCAACCGCUUGAUGACACACAACAAAAAUUAGGGGUUGAAAAGCGAAUGAGCACACCCAAGAAUCUUCACAUCCAACUUAAGAAAGAGCUAUCAAAAUUAAUUACGGCCCUACAAUUGCCGGAUGAUGUAAGAGCUAUGGCUGAACAGUUGUUUGAGUAUUUUUUGAAGAAUCAUCUUGUUGUUACAGAGCCAGUGGGCAUACUGCACGCAAUCAUCAUAUCCUUGUGUUGGCAUGCUGCUUCUGUUCUUAAGUAUAAGAUAAAUUGUGGAGAGUCGAUUGCCCUUGCUGGAAAAAGCUUGAACUGUGAGUGCAAUGAAGAGCUUGCAUCAUUCAUCUAUGGAAGAUUAAGGUUCCCAGAGGAAAAAAAUCCAAAUAGAGCAAUUGAAAUUAGCAUCAAUGGUCAACCAGUGUCAGUAGAGGACACCCAAAUCUCAUGGGAGGAGACCUCUACCAACUUGAGAAACAACCACAUGCUCCAAAGUAAGGAAAUGGAUCAUGGUAAUUUGACGAGUACUGGACCACAAGAGGUUUCAUCUAGUGCUGAGCAUAUGAUCCCAGAGGUGCAGGAACCUAUCCAGGACACUCAUGGAGAAUGUCAUGUGUCAAAUGAUGAGCUUCCUAACAUGAUUGUGGAGAAAAGAACAGAGUUAGUUGACAACAAUCAUGACAAUUUCACAAAUGGUGCACCACAAGUGGUCUCAUCUGGUGCUGAUCACAUGAUCUCAGAGGAGCAGGAACCUGUUCAAGAAACUCACAGAGAAUGUCAUUUGUCAAAGGAUAACCUUCCUAACAUGAUCGUGGAGAAAAGAAUGGAGUUAAUUGACAAUGUUUUCUCCUUGAGAGAAAAGAAUAUCCUUUGUAAACAACAGCUUGAGAUCUCAGGUUUAGACACAUACACACAGAACAACGUUAUCAGACUGAAAGAAGUGUGCAUUUUAGUUCUGAAGCAUAUUCGUAGAAGUCACAUUGAUGAAGUGACCAGGAGUGACAAAAUACAGCUAACUGUUCAGUGGUUCACUAUGCUUAUGUGUGCAUUUUUGGACCACAUGAGGCUCCAGCAUAACAAACUCGAGGCAGUGCAGUCUGAUAGGUGGCUCGUAGAGCGACAUCUGAAGAAGAAUCUCCAGCAGGUAGCAAAUUCAGGCCAAUUAGAUCAAGACUUUGAUCGGCAUAUUGCUCUACCAGAUUCAAACUUUGUUAUGGAAGAAUUCAUCCAUUUUAAGGAGCAGAGUGGUGAAGGACCAGCAUCAGAAGCUGUUGAUUUUCCAGGAAACUGCAUCCUUAGUUCUGAUGGCAUGGGUGUACAAAGAGCUGGUUGUUCAUCAAGUACUAUUCCUGCAAAUGAUGAUUCAGUUGGUCAGGAAUCUUCAAUUGGUGACUGUAGAAAUACUGGACAUGUUGAGGCAGAAAAUGUUGCUAAUCCAGAUCAAGUCCACUUGGAGUCACCAGUUAGUCCAGCUACCUUACCAGUGUCUACUGAAUUUGAAACUCAGACUUGCCAAUCAAGUAUGCAUGUGGAACAAAGUCCUGAAGCGCAACAGUCAACCUCAAUGAAAGAUCAACCUGCAGAAAAACGAGCAUGUAUUGUGGGUCCUGAGGCAGCAAUGCAGGAUCAGUCAGCAGAGGCUGAGCGAGCAGGUACCUUGGGUGCCAUAUCAGCUCAGGUUUUGCCGCUUGAAAUGCAAUCAUCAUCAACCUCAAUGCGGGGCGUUCCCUUUGUGUCUGGUCUGCAGAGUCCGUCUGUCCAUCAAAGUGUAGUACCUUCAUUGGAUCCACAUGCAGGAGUAGAGUUAUCUGGCACUGUGACACCUCAUGCUAUACAACCACCAGCCUCAAUGCCUGUGGAACAGAGUACCAGUCUGCCUGCCCAACAAAGCUUAGCAACAUUGCGUCAUCCACCAGCAGAAGCAGAACCAGCAGGUAUUCUGGCCACAGAGGUAGCUUGCGAUUUGCAGCCUGAAGCCCGACUGUCAACCUCAAUGCAGGAUCAACCUGCAGAAGAAGGAGCAUGUAUCUUGGGCGCCACUGCUGCUCGAGGUUCGCAGCCUGAAGUGCAACCAUCAACCUCAUUGGAUUCACAUGGCAGAGGAGAAUCAACAGAUACGUUGGGUGUGGUGACAGCUCCUGAUAUGCAAUCAGAAAUACAACCAUCAGCCUUGAUGCAGGAUCAACCUGUGGCAGCAGAAGGAGCAUGUGUUCUAGGCACGACAGUAGCCCAGGAUUUGCAGCCUGAACUGCAAACAGCAACCACAGUUCAGCAUGACCCACUUGAAAGAACACGCUCUGAAGAAAGGAGACAAGCUGGUUUUGAACCAAACACAGCAGCCAGUCCUGAGCAUGAUCUGCAGUCUGAAAUACAGCCAUCAGCCUUAAUGCGUGAUCGACCUGCAGGAGCAGAAGGAGCAGGUAUGGUAGGCAGUACGGCAGCCCAGGAUUUGCAGCCUGAACAGCAAUUAUCAACCACAGUUCAGCAUAUCCCUACCGGUCCUGAGCAGCCUACCCAACUCCCUCCAGUCACGCCAUUGGUGUUUAAUAAUCCAAUCAUUAGUGAUGAACCGCUGAGAAAUGAGUUGGAAAAAAUAAUUCAUUGGAGCACUUUGCUUGAUAAAGGCCAUGACGAUAAGGUUUUUUUUUUGUUUUGUUUGUCUAUUAUCUGUUUUACUGUAAAUUGCAUGUGCUAG